rnacentral:rRNA from 1 species
GACGGAGGGGGCUAGCGGUGUUCGGAAGUACUGGGCGUAAAGCGCACGUAGGCGGCUUUGUAAGUUAGAGGUGAAAGCCCGGAGCUCAACUCCGGAAUUGCCUUUAAGACUGCAUCGCUAGAAUUGUGGAGAGGUGAGUGGAAUUCCGAGUGUAGAGGUGAAAUUCGUAGAUAUUCGGAAGAACACCAGUGGCGAAGGCGACUCACUGGACACAUAUUGACGCUGAGGUGCGAAAGCGUGGGGAGCAAACAGG